rnacentral:rRNA from 1 species
AGUGAACGCUGGCGGUAGGCCUAACACAUGCAAGUCGAACGGCAGCACAGUAAGAGCUUGCUCUUACGGGUGGCGAGUGGCGGACGGGUGAGGAAUACAUCGGAAUCUACUUUUUCGUGGGGGAUAACGUAGGGAAACUUACGCUAAUACCGCAUACGACCUACGGUUGAAAGCAGGGGAUCUUCGGACCUUGCGCGAUUGAAUGAGCCGAUGUCGGAUUAGCUAGUUGGCGGGGUAAAGGCCCACCAAGGCGACGAUCCGUAGCUGGUCUGAGAGGAUGAUCAGCCACACUGGAACUGAGACACGGUCCAGACUCCUACGGGAGGCAGCAGUGGGGAAUAUUGGACAAUGGGCGCAAGCCUGAUCCAGCCAUACCGCGUGGGUGAAGAAGGCCUUCGGGUUGUAAAGCCCUUUUGCUGGGAAAGAAAAGCAGCAGGUUAAUACCCCGCUGUUCUGACGGUACCCAAAGAAUAAGCACCGGCUAACUUCGUG